rnacentral:rRNA from 1 species
UUCGCGGCCUAUCAGCUUGUUGGUGAGGUAAUGGCUCACCAAGGCGUCGACGGGUAGCCGGCCUGAGAGGGUGACCGGCCACACUGGGACUGAGACACGGCCCAGACUCCUACGGGAGGCAGCAGUGGGGAAUAUUGCACAAUGGGCGAAAGCCUGAUGCAGCAACACCGCGUGAGGGACGACGGCCUUCGGGUUGUAAACCUCUUUUAGCAAGGAAGAAGCGAAAGUGACGGUACUUGCAGAAAAAGCGCCGGCUAACUACGUGCCAGCAGCCGCGGUAAUACGUAGGGCGCAAGCGUUAUCCGGAAUUAUUGGGCGUAAAGAGCUCGUAGGCGGUUUGCCGCGUCUGCUGUGAAAACCCGAGGCUCAACCUCGGGCCUGCAGUGGGUACGGGCAGACUAGAGUGCGGUAGGGGAGAUUGGAACUCCUGGUGUAGCGGUGGAAUGCGCAGAUAUCAGGAAGAACACCGAUGGCGAAGGCAGAUCUCUGGGCCGUAACUGACGCUGAGGAGCGAAAGGGUGGGGAGCAAACAGGCUUAGAUACCCUGGUAGUCCACCCCGUAAACGUUGGGAACUAGUUGUGGGGUCCAUUCCACGGAUUCCGUGACGCA